AAAUCACCCAUUCGUGGUGAAGCUGCACUAUGCCUUCCAGACCGAGGGCAAGCUCUAUCUCAUUCUGGACUUCCUGCGUGGUGGGGACCUCUUCACCCGGCUCUCAAAAGAGGUGAUGUUCACGGAGGAGGAUGUGAAGUUUUACCUGGCCGAGCUGGCUCUGGGCCUGGAUCACCUGCACAGCCUGGGUAUCAUUUACAGAGACCUCAAGCCUGAGAAGUGAGUGAAGCCUCCAGCCCCACCCCAGCCUCCCCAGGGGAGGCCUCCUCUAGGACAGGGCCAUCCUGAGGUGGGUGGGCAUGGCUUUCUCCAGAAACGUCUCCCUCCUUGGGCAAUCUGAGGAAUGGGUGAGUGGGGGGGUGGUAGUGCCAGCUGCCCAGUCACUAAUGCUACCAUUACCAAGGGCCAGGUACUUUCCAUGCAGGUAAUGUUGCCCAUCUUUUUUUGCUAAUCUAGUGUGACAUUCGAGAUGCCACCUUUAGAGGUCUUUCCUUGAUAAAGCCCUAUAGAAUUUUCCCUAAUAUCUAACUACCCUCAAAUGAUAACUAAGGAGCCAGGGGCAGGUGGUGAGUUGGAAUAAGAUCUGGCUUUAGUGUUAGGCAGCCCUGUAUUCAAAUCCUGUCUCCACCUACUAGCUAGACCUACUAGCUCAAUGACUGUAGAGCUACUUAACUGCCCUGAGCCUUAGUUUUCCCAUUAGCAAAACGGGGCCCUAAUAGUACUUGCCUCACACAGUUGCUUCAAGGAUUAGCAAAAAAGAUAGGCAACACCCCUGCGUGGCACUGCUACCACCCUGCAACACCCGCCCAGUCAUCAGAGAGAAUUGGGUGGAGCACCUCCUCUGGGCUGAACCCA
rnacentral:sRNA from 1 species